UUGGGCUUACUUGAACAUGAUCUGUUCUAUAGGCUCGUACCGCUGCAUCAUUUACCAACAAGGAGGCAAGCACUUCAGUCUGCUUGAUGCAUUCUGUCUCUGGGCCAGAGCGUGUUUAACGGCCAGGAUUUUCCUGAUGGGGCAAUCCGAUGGCUGUAGAGGAUCGUUCCUGCCUGGCUCUCACGCCUGUGUCAGGUGGCCCAGAGGUUGUCUGACAGACU
rfam:Triticum aestivum genome assembly, contig: Triticum_aestivum_CS42_TGACv1_scaffold_223812_3B